rnacentral:rRNA from 1 species
CUCAGAACGAACGCUAGCGGCGUGCUUAACACAUGCAAGUCGAACGAGAAAGCCCUUCGGGGUGAGUAGAGUGGCGCACGGGUGAGUAAUGAAUAGGAACGUACCUUUCGGAGGGGGAUAACCAUUGGAAACGAUGGCUAAUACCGCGUAAUAUCGAAAGAUUAAAGGUGGCCUCUACUUGUAAGCUACCGCCGAAAGAUCGGCCUAUUUCCCAUUAGCUUGUUGGCGGGGUAACGGCCCACCAAGGCUACGAUGGGUAGCUGGUCUGAGAGGAUGAUCAGCCACACUGGGACUGAGACACGGCCCAGACUCCUGCGGGAGGCAGCAGAGGGAAUCUUGCACAAUGGGCGAAAGCCUGAUGCAGCAACGCCGCGUGAGUGAAGAAGGCCAUCGGUCGUAAAGCUCUUUCAUUUGGGAAGAAGGGUUCAUAGGUGAACAAUCUAUGGAUUUGACGGUACCGAGAUAAGAAGCACUGGCUAACUCCGUGCCAGCAGCCGCGGUAAUACGGAGGGUGCAAGCGUUGUUCGGAUUGACUGGGCGUAAAGCGCACGUAGGCGGAUCUGCAAGUCGAUUGUGAAAGCCCAGGGCUUAACCUUGGAAUUGCAAUCGAAACUACAGGUCUUGAAUGCUCAAGGGGUCGGCGGAAUUCCAGGUGUAGAAGUGAAAUUCGUAGAUAUCUGGAGGAACCCGAGGCGAAUGCGGCCGACUGGUGGUGCAUUGACGCUGAGGUGCGAAAGCGUGGGUAGCAAACAGGAUUAGAUACCCUGGUAGUCCACGCCGUAAACGAUGGAUACUAGGUGUUUGGGAUGUUAACCUCCUGAGUACCGUAGCUAACGCAUUAAGUAUCCCGCCUGGGGAGUACGGUCGCAAGGCUAAAACUCAAAGGAAUUGACGGGGGCCCGCACAAGCGGUGGAGUAUGUGGUUUAAUUCGACGCAACGCGCAGAACCUUACCUGGACUUAACAUCCUGGGACAACCUCAGAGAUGAGGCUUUCUCUUCGGAGACUCAGUGAUAGGUGUUGCAUGGCUGUCGUCAGCUCGUGUCGUAAGAUGUUCGGUUAAGUCCGGCAACGAGCGCAACCCUUGUCUUUAGUUGCCAUCAUUAAGUUGGGCACUCUAGAGAGACUGCCGGUGUUAAGCCGGAGGAAGGCGGGGAUGACGUCAAGUCCUCAUGGCCCUUACGUCCAGGGCUACACACGUACUACAAUGGUAGGAACAAACCGAGGCGAACCCGCGAGGCGGAGCAAAACGGUAAAACACUACCUCAGUUCGGAUUGGAGUCUGCAACUCGACUCCAUGAAGCUGGAAUCGCUAGUAACCGCAGAUCAGCACGCUGCGGUGAAUACGUUCCCGGGCCUUGUACACACCGCCCGUCACACCACGAGAGUGAUCAUGGCCAGAAGUAUGUGAGCUAACCGCAAGGAGGCAGCAUACCAAGGUUGUGGACGCGAUUGGGGUGAAGUCGUAACAAGGUA